rnacentral:rRNA from 1 species
AACGAACGCUGGCGGCAGGCUUAACACAUGCCAGUCGAACGCACCUUUCGGGGUGAGUGGCAGACGGGUGAGUAACGCGUGGGAAUCUACCCUUCUCUACGGGAUAGCUCCGGGAAACUGGAAUUAAUACCGUAUACGUCCUGAGGGAGAAAGAAUUAUCGGGGAAGGAUGAGCCCGCGUUGGAUUAGCUAGUUGGUGGGGUAAAGGCCUACCAAGGCGACGAUCCAUAGCUGGUCUAAGAGGAUGAUCAGCCACAUUGGGACUGAGACACGGCCCAAACUCCUACGGGAGGCAGCAGUGGGGAAUAUUGGACAAUGGGCGCAAGCAUGAUCCAGCCAUGCCGCGUGAGUGAUGAAGGCCCUAGGGUUGUAAAGCUCUUUCAGUGGGGACGAUAAUGACGGUACCCACAGAAGAAGCCCCGGCUAACUUCGU